CGAGCGGCGGACGGGUGAGUAACGCGUGGGUAACCUGCCUCAUACAGGGGGAUAACAGUCGGAAACGGCUGCUAAUACCGCAUAAGCGCACAGUACCGCAUGGUACGGUGUGAAAAACUCCGGUGGUAUGAGAUGGACCCGCGUCUGAUUAGGUAGUUGGUGGGGUAACGGCCUACCAAGCCGACGAUCAGUAGCCGACCUGAGAGGGUGACCGGCCACAUUGGGACUGAGACACGGCCCAA
rnacentral:rRNA from 1 species